CUGGAUAAGUAUAAAAAUUGUGUUUAAUGUACUUAUGAUAAGAACUUUCAUCGACUGCAGCACAAAACAAUAGGUUAUUUUUCACAAAUAAACAUAAAUUAGUAGAAGAAAAUAACCAGAACUCACUAUCAGAUAUCACUAGAAACAAACAACAAAGGUGAGUACAACAUUCUAAAUUUAAAAGUAUGCAAAAAUAUUCAAUAUAAAACAAACAGACAUAGGAGCGUAUCUCUCACAAACAAGAACGGACUGGUUGCACUGGUACCUGCCUGAGCAGUGCUUGGGACAGUCCGUAUGGAAACAAACAUGCUGCCGAGUGACGUUCCGGGUGAACGUUAAGUGCUUCAGGGUAUUUUUUGUACAGAAAAAUAAGAAAAUAAAUUAUUUCAUACUCUCACUUUUUUGUGCACAGAAACCCAAUGUAUAUAAAAGCAGAAAUCCGUCUGCCAUCCUACAUGGUAAACGCUGCUCAUUUGGAGUCUAGAUGGACAGACAGAUGGGAGAGAUUCUGCGAGGAUUGAAGGGCCUCUUUACCCUCCUCUGCCGUCCACCAGAGGGAGUGGCUGUGACUGUCCUUGCCCUGCCCUAGGGCUGGAUGCCAGGAACUGACAGUCCUGAGGAGUAAUGAGCAUUCCCUAGUCCUGCCACUGUCCCCUGGGCCUGUACUUAACUGCCUCAUUUGCCCUAAAAAUCAGAGUCUAAACCUGAAGCCCUUGCCGAAUGUCCCGCCUGGGCCUCCUGCCUUCCCACGCACACCCAUUCUCCAGCCCCACACACCAGGCCAGUCUGGGAGCCUCCGGUCAUCCUCAGGUGCUGCCCCUGCCUGUGACCGAGGCCUGCUGCUGCCACUGAUCCCUAAGCUAGGAACUCCCUGCCCGGCGAGGGUCUCAGGUGUCUCUGAGCACGCUGUGGACUGGCCAUGGCUCUUUGAAGAGGGACAUAAUCUAACCGUCUGGCUGACCCUGGUUUCUGAGACGGACGGGGCUGGACUAGCCCUUCUUCGCCCACCUGCUCCAGGACAAGCAGGGUCUAGCAGGUGGGACGGAAGAGGGCGGCGCUGGGCCCCUCAUCUCAGCCUGCGCCCCAGAGCAAGCUCUUUUCCCGACAGCUGAUGGACCGGGGACCCAGGCACCUGCUAAGCUGUCUCUCAAUAGAGAAACUGAGUCACAGCAAAGAGUCUAACAGCCACCAUCCACUGCACAGAGGUCGUGUCUUCCGCAGCCACCUUCUUUUUUUUAUUUUAAAGAGAAAAAUAUAAACAAUGAAACCGAAUUUCUUAAGUGUCAGACUGCUUACGCCUCUUUAAGAACAGGCCCUGGCAGGGUGUGGUGUACACCUGGAA
rnacentral:lncRNA from 1 species